AAGCCAGGACCCAUGGAGUCUGAUCUACAACACAAGCAGUAGCAGUUCCACAUCUCCCUACCACCUCUUAUUUCCUACGAAGUCUUUCUGCCUGAAACUGGAAAACCCGAACUAUUAUUGAGGAAGUGAAGCCCUUCCAUUUGAAUCCUGAGAAAGACGCGCUCAAAGAACCCAGCGAACAAAGGAGAGGGUUGGAGCCCACGCAAAACAUGGGUGUGAUAAAGCCACACGCGACCUGAGCCCCCACCCUCAGUAACUACUCUCCAGCGCCCACCGGGAGGAGGGGUCCGGGGAAAGGGUAAGCCGAGGAAGGAGAAGACGCUCCGGCCAGACCGAACGCAGGAUUGGCAUCCUCUGCUUCUGCAGAAAACAUGGCUACCAACAGCUUCUGUAUCCACCUGCGGAGGAGACUGACUGCUCUGUUAUUCCCCCAGCAUCUGUGAAGAGGCUCUGACUGGCUAAAGUGAAGGAGUCUGUAGCUUUAGGGGAAGACAGAGCCACAAGAUGGAAGGAGCUUGGAUGUCUGAACUAUUCCAUGGAGAAAAGCUGCAGCCAACGAAGAACACCUGCAAUGGACUCUUAACCUGGGGGUGACGACAACCACUGAAAUAUGCUGCAUCUUAGUCCAGGGAUUUUUAAAGUGUGGUUCCUGGAAGAGCUGGAUCAGAGUCAUCUGUGUUGAUGGUUUAACAUAAAGAUUUUCGAGCCCCAAGACUCAAGUAGGACAAGGAAUUUGAAUUUUUAAGCAGCUCACCUGACUUGUCUGUCCUCUAAUGUCUGAAGACAUCUGACCUCUGCUCUUUCAGUAAAAGCAACAAUGGUUUUAUGAGCAUUGUCGUCACAUCUCUCCACUCAAGGGAUCCUUCUCAUUUCUCCCAGCUGAGGUCACCCACAGCUGCUGCUUCUAACUGCUGGCUUCCAGCCUGCUGUCUGCCAGCUGGCUCUACCCUCUCCUAUAACACGGCAGAGAGUAGCUGUGGUCUCCUGCGUGCUCACCCUCUGCUCCCUUGGUCCUGCUCCAUGCUUUGGUCCUGCACUUAAAUUUUACAAGCAUACUCUCUUUCUCUUAAGGUAAG
rnacentral:lncRNA from 1 species